AUUGAACGCUGGCGGCAGGCCUAACACAUGCAAGUCGAGCGGAGCGGCGGACGGGUGAGUAAUGCCUAGGAAUCUGCCUGGUAGUGGGGGAUAACGUCCGGAAACGGGCGCUAAUACCGCAUACUAUCAGAUGAGCAUCGGUCGGAUUAGCUAGUUGGUGGGGUAAAGGCCUACCAAGGCGACGAUCCGGAACUGGGCUGAGAGGAUGAUCAGUCACACUGGAACUUAGACACGGUCCAGACUCCUACGGGAGGCAGCAGUGGGGAAUAUUGGAAAAUGGGCGAAAGUCUGACGCGGCAACGCCGCGUGAGUUAUGACGGCCUUCGGGUUGUAAAGCUCUGUUAAUCGGGACGCGGUACCGGAAUAGAAAGCCACGGCUAACUACGUGCCAGCAGCCGCGGUAAUAC
rnacentral:rRNA from 1 species